rnacentral:rRNA from 1 species
UAGGGAAUCUUCGGCAAUGGACGAAAGUCUGACCGAGCAACGCCGCGUGAGUGAAGAAGGUUUUCGGAUCGUAAAACUCUGUUGUUAGAGAAGAACAAGGACGUUAGUAACUGAACGUCCCCUGACGGUAUCUAACCAGAAAGCCACGGCUAACUACGUGCCAGCCGCCGCGGUAAUACGUAGGUGGCAAGGGUUGUCCGGAUUUAUUGGGCGUAAAGCGAGCGCAGGCGGUUUCUUAAGUCUGAUGUGAAAGCCCCCGGCUCAACCGGGGAGGGUCAUUGGAAACUGGGAGAAUGGAGUGUGGAGGAGGAGGGUGGAAUUCCAUGUGUAGCGGUGAAAUGCGUAGAUAUAGGGGGGAACACAAGUGGCGAAGGCGGCUCUCUGGUCUGUAACUGAAGCUGAGGCUCGAAAGGGUGGGGAGCAAACAGG